GCUGGUCGGAUGGUCUAGCAUGCGAGUCAUUGUAGCAUACAAGGCAGACGGCUCAGUAACGCGUAGUCAACCUACCCUAUGGAUGGGAAUAACCUCGGGAAACUGAGAAUAAUACCCAAUAGAACACUAUGCCUGGAAUGGUUUAUGUUUCAAAUGAUUUAUCGCCGUAGGAUGGGACUGCGGCCUAUCAGUUUGUUGGUGAGGUAACGGCCCACCAAGACUAUUACAGGUACGGGCUCUGAGAGGAGUGGCCCGGAGAUGGGUACUGAGACACGGACCCAGGCCCUAUGGGGCGCAGCAGGCGAGAAAACUUUGCAAUGUGCGAAAGCACGACAAGGUUAAUCCGAGUGGUUUCUGCUAAAGAAACCUUUUGUUAGUCCUAGAAACACUGAUGAAUAAGGGGUGGGCAAGUUCUGGUGUCAGCCGCCGCGGUAAAACCAGCACCUCAAGUGGUCAGGAUGAUUAUUGGGCCUAAAGCAUCCGUAGCUCGCUUUGUUAGUUUUCGGUUAAAUCCGUACGCUCAACGUACGGGCUGCCGGGAAUACUGCAUAGCUAGGAAGUGGGAGAGGUAGACGGUACUCGAUAGGAAGGGGUAAAAUCCUUUGAUCUAUUGAUGACCACCUGUGGCGAAGGCGGUCUACCAGAACACGUUCGACGGUGAGGGAUGAAAGCUGGGGGAGCAAACCGGAUUAGAUACCCGGGUAGUCCCAGCUGUAAACUAUGCAAACUCAGUGAUGCAUUGGCUUGUGGCCAAUGCAGUGCUGCAGGGAAGCCGUUAAGUUUGCCGCCUGGGAAGUACGUACGCAAGUAUGAAACUUAAAGGAAUUGGCGGGGGAGCACCACAAGGGGUGAAGCCUGCGGUUCAAUUGGAGUCACGCGGAAAAUUUUCCU
rnacentral:rRNA from 1 species